rnacentral:misc_RNA from 1 species
CAACAGUCAGGGCAACCGGUAUCUCGCCCCCAUGAACCCAUUCGCCAAAGAGGUGACCAAGAGGGUGAAUACGGGAGGAAGUGUGUGGAGGAGUUGGAAUUGGAGAUCCGAAGGUGACCUCCUACUCAACGGGGCAUACUUUGUUAGGUCUGGUGCAGGCGCUGCGGCUAGCUAUGCUAGGGCAUCAAGCUUAGGAGCGAAGUCGUCAUCGAUGGUCGGCUCCAUCACCUCUGGGGCCGGAGUGCUCUUAUGUCGUCGGGGCUCACAAUGUUGAUGGUAUACAUUAUAGUUCAAGUCUUCUUCUUCAAGGUAAGUGUGCAAAUAGACUUGAGUUCAAAAUUUUCAAUGUUGAUGGUAUACAUUGUAGUUCAAGUCUUCUCCUUCGAGGCAAGUGUGCAAAAAGACUUGAG